GCCAUUGUGGUAUAGUGGUUUGUGCAUUGGACUAUGGCUCUGGAGACCAGGGUUCAAUUCCCUGAUCUGCCA